rnacentral:rRNA from 1 species
UACAGAGGGGGCAAGCGUUAUUCGGAAUUAUUGGGCGUAAAGGGCGCGUAGGCGGCUAGAUGUGUCAAAGGUGAAAUCCCUCGGCUCAACUGAGGAACUGCCUUUGAAACUGUCUGGCUUGAGGCCGGGAGAGGGUAGCGGAAUUCCCAGUGUAGCGGUGAAAUGCGUAGAUAUUGGGAGGAACACCAGUGGCGAAGGCAGCUCCCUGGACCGGAUCUGACGCUGAGGCGCGAAAGCGUGGGUAGCAAACAGG